rnacentral:lncRNA from 1 species
CAGGUACAACAUGACAGUAAUUUGUCAAGUCUAAUUCCACUGAGUGUAGUUCUAUUUUUUUUCCACAAGGUGGCAGCCAAAGCAUGAUUUCAUGAGAAUCUCUGACUUUCUGGAAACAAGCCAGGUUUUAUUUGACAGAUAAAUAGAAGUGAACGUUGUGAUGUGGCUCUUCACUCAUCUCAGUGGUGCUGUUGGGUGAAAAUGGAAAGGAGAGCAUUAUCAAACAUCAUCACAUCAUUGACGUGUUUCCUGAUCCCAAUCCUCUCACUCCCACUACUUAACAUAUUUAGCAGUUUGCUCCGUUUGCUCUGCACUGGAGCCUCAGCCUCAGAGAAACCAGACUGCCUCUAAUUUGCAUACCAUGUCUUUGAUUGGCUGUUCAGCUGGGGGGCGGGGUCUGAGCUGAGCGCUGUCAGAGCAUGCGCACAGACAGGUAAAGAGCAAGGAAGAACUGAAAUGAAACCUAUCAUCUCACUUGUGCCUUUUCCAGCGGAUUGUCAGCUACUGCAGUGAAUCGAGUCUAUAUUCAGUUCAGGGGUGAUUUCUUUUUUUCUACUUCUGAAAACUGAGACGACAACCGCCAGGAUGAGCUACAGGGAUUAUAAUUUAGAUUUAUACAGUAUCCAGUACCACGGAACUUCAGUGUUUUCAUCGUGGUAUGUGAUCUUUGGAAUUGUAUUGGCUGUGGUUGUCUUGCUCCUCCUCAUCAUCUGCUGCUGCUGCUGUCCCUGCUGCUGCCUCUACCACAUGUGCCACAAGCCGCGACCUGUGGUUGGCACCACCACCCACACCACAGUGGUGACCUCCACCCCUCAGCAGUACCCCCAGCAGUACCCGGGGGGCCAGUUCCAGCCCAUCCCGAUGCAGCCCGGCUACCCAGCCCAGCCUUCAGCCUACCACGGCCAGCCGUACGGAGCAGGACCUCCACCAACGUACCAGGAAGCCAUCGGUCCUAUGUACCCCUCCCAGCCGGCGCCUUACAGCCAGGCGGCGUUUGGCCCCGGGCAGCCUCCCUACCCCUUACAGCCCGCCGCCAAGCCGCAGGCCAGCGCUCCCCCCGCCGAAACGGACUUCCUGGUUCAGCCUGCCUACAACCCGGACUACGUAGCUCUGCCUCACCAGACCGGAUAGAGGACGGAGGAGCUGCUCUCCGCUUCAGACGUGUUGCCGCAUUUUUCAACUUGGCAAAACUGGAAAUCUGCUUUUGGACUCAAGAUGAGAAAUUCCAGAUUGUCUCGAUCAAUAUUUUUCUUUUUUGCUUUUGUGGUAAAAAAUAAUGUUACUGCAGCAGCAGCACACCUGAAGCCGAGUGGAAACAUGUCGACACCUUCCAGCCUGUAUUGCAUGGACAGAUCAUUUCCACAGACCAGCUGAUGUGGUCUUCUUUCUGUCAUCUGGAGCGUCUUAGUGACUUUAUUUCAGUCAUGAAAAGUGCUCUGUCAUUUCUCAGCCUUCUAAACGCGCCAUGAAGCCAACUUGUAUGCCUUUAAUAUCCUCCUCUCAACCUUCCAGACCUCUUUAUUCACGUAAAGUGACUGAAACUGGCCUCAGUGGUCCAGCCGCCCUUCCAGUCCACCAAGUGCUUCUUUUUAUUUGCUGAUGUUUGAUUGUUUUUUUCCCCUCUAUGCCACUUUGUAAAACAUUGAAGUGUUUUAAGGAGGAUUUGUUUGUUUGUUUAACAUUUAGCCAGGAAAGUCCCGUUGAGAUUAAAAACCUCUCUUUCCUGGGGGUUACAGAGUUAUAAAUUACAAUUACAAGAGGAUUCAUGCUGGAAAAGAACUGAGUUAGUGUCUUUUGAGUCAAAAGCCAAUGAAAAGGAAUAUCAACAUGUCAGAGGUCAAGAAACUUCACAUCGAUCAAGUUAACAUUUCUGUGUUCAUCAGAUCAUUUAAAACCAAAGGAAAUACUUCCUUUUUCUCCAAAAACCAAACUGUGUCAUUUAUUGGGCGUCAGCUUCAAAGAAGUUAAAUUUUCUCAGUUUUUUUUCUAAAUUUGUUUAUUUAAUAUCUAGAAUUACAAGAAUUCACCAGAUUUUAAGCACUUUGUUUUAACAAGUAGAAUUAGAAAUGGAGAAAAAAAAUCUAUUACCAGGAAAACAUUUGUGUACAGAAAAACAAGAGAAAAUCAUUAUUGUAUGUAUUAUUAUCUAAGUUAACAGCUUUAUAACAGUUCUGUUAAACUCACACAUCAUGUUGGAAGUGUUCAACUGUACCAGGAGACAGAUCAGAAUCCACAGCAUCACAUGAAACAACAGCAGAGUCAUGGAGUUGUAAAAUCUCCUCCUCACUCAAGAGAAGAAGCUGGAAGUGCACAGAGGACGACACCAGUGAGUUUCCUUUUCUCUGUGAGCUCUUCAGCGGUCAAGCAAUAAUCUUAUCAUAACCAUCAGUUAUUGUGCGUUCUGUCGUCUUUACCUUCUUUGCUUUCUGAGACCGAGGCAUUCAAAGUGGCUCAUAGCCUGCAGGAAGGACAAAGUUCAUCAAGUCAUCUCAUUUCUCAAAUGAGUCACUGUUAGAACUGGACUGGAACCAGGGCCGGGUCUAGCCAGGCAUGUAUGAGGGGGCAGCCACAAAUGUUGAGGGGGCAUUGUGCUCCAUGUCUAACUGACAAAUUCACCCACUAGGAUGCGGGUACACUGAGCAAGUACCUUGUAAAGUUGUGUCA